AACGCACAUUGCGCCCUUUGGCAUUCCGAAGGGCAUGCCUGUUCGAGCGUCAUUACACCCCUCAGACCCUGCCCUGUGUGGGCGGAUCUGGCGUUGGGCGGUGCCGGAAGGCACGCCUAAAAGUCAGCAACGGCAUCCUCGACCGCAAGCGCACAACUGUCGCGAUGCAGGGCGGGCGGUGCUGGUACACCCCUAAAUGUUGACCUCGGAUCAGGUAGGAUUACCCGCUGAACUUAA
rnacentral:misc_RNA from 1 species